UUUCUGUUUUUAUGCCAGUACCAUACUCUCUUGAUUACUGUAGCUUUGUAGUAUAGUCUAAAGUCCAGAAGCCUGAUUCCUCCAGCUCCUGGAUGCAUUUUAAUAGAUGUCUGAGUCAGCCUCUUUUAUCCCCCUGCCUGGAAUGCUCUUUCCUCUGGUUUUGUUUUGAAAACUGCUUCUCAUCUUUUAAGACCCAACUCAAGAGUCCCUUUUUGAGAAGUUUUCACCCCAUCCUGACUACAGGGUUGAGCGCCCACUUAUUGGAGCCCCUGCAGUACUUAGUUCAGGCUCCUUGUAGCCUCUUCCUGCCAUGGUGGGUGCUGCCCACGAUUGGGCCAUUCACAGGGCGGCAGGCGACUCAGCUUGUCCUGGCACAGCUGCCCAGAAAAGGGAUCGGGGCCAUUCUCUCCAGGUAGCUGGGGCUGGGGCCCAUCGCAAACUAAGGCCCAAGCAUAGCCUGCUGGGGGAUGAAGUCAUGUGGAAAAACACUCGAGUCAGAACAAACCUGUCUUUCUGCAAAUGACUUCAUCACAUUGCCAGAAGGCUCGGAUCACUCCACCUCUCACCUCUUCCAGCCCACCCAUGGGAUCGGGAAAGACCAGUUCCUCGAGUCCUGUUGCAUCUCUCAGGCAAAAGUAAAUGUUACAGAGACCCACCCAUGAGGUGCUGGGGAGCUGAUGCCUCCACUUCCUCCACAGCUGGGGCUUCCUCUGAGCUCUCAGGCUGGGAAGGCCUUGAGGGCACGUCGGGGCCUUCUCCACAUCUGUGUUCACAGUGCCCAGCACAGAGACCAGCAAAAAUGUAAAAUAAAAUACUCACUCACUAAAUGCAUGUGUUCAUGAACUCUACAAAUACUCAGCAGUUCUUCUGCUCUUUCUACCAGCAUCACGGGGGCACUGGGGUUAUGCUCACAGAAAGAGGAAAUAAAGGAGGGAAAGAGGGCAGGAAGGAAGGAGUAAAUUCCUCACUAGGGUGAUAGAGCCCCACAAAGCAGACUGGGCCCUGAGAGAGGCGUCAAGGAAGCUGAGCUCUAGCUCUUAUUCCAGCAAAUACAUUUCUAUUCAACAGCUUUCUUGAGCAGAGCCUCUAUUCCCGCUGUGUGGUGGGCACCUAGGGGAGCCAUUCUAGUUCUCUGGCAGUGAAAGUCAUGCACGGGGGACGGACAAUAACAAUGACACGGUUACAGGCUGUAUUGGAGUUGUGGACAGGGUAGCGGGGGGCGCGCAGGAGGAGGUGCUGGGUGGGCUGGCCAAGGAGGUCAGCCUUGAAGGAUGAACACACCAGGCUGUCCAGGAGAUGGUGGAAAGGCUUUUGAGGCUGCAGGGUGCUUGGAAAAGGGCAAGCAAUUCCAUGUUUUGGGAGCAGAGGGUACGUAAAGGAAGUCGCAAUAGUUGGGGCUGGUGAGGCAGGCUGAGGGGCCAGACUGCGGGGGGGUGAGGUUCACUCUGCUGGAACAAGGAGCCAUUGAAGGGCUGAAGAGUAGAGCGUCCGGUCUGGGUGUCCAUUUCAGGAAAGGUGCUUUGGACUGGAUGGCAGAACGGCUAUAACGCAGUUACCAACCAGGGGAUCCCUGGAGUGGUUCAGAGGCAAGAGGGAGAUGGCCUAGAGUAGAGUAGUGGCAAUGGGUGGAGAAGAAGAGGAAAGAGAGAUAGUGAUGCUCAUUGCUGAUGGGACUUGGGGACCACUGGGAUGAGGUGGGAAGUGGGAUCUAGGGAUGUUCUGGUCUCUUAGAUUGUAAGUUAAAAUUUGGAUUCUAAUGCUAUGGCAGAGAAACUCAAAUCAGUGGCUGAAAGAAGAUAAAAGACCGGGUAGGCAGUCCCAGACUGCUAUGGUGAUUCCACAAUAGUCAGAGACCCAGACUCCUUCUAUCUCGUUUCUCUGCCAUCUUUGAUACCCAGCCGUGAUCAUGUGGCCCAGAAUGGCUGCUCCAACUCCCUCUGACACAUCUGCAUUCCAACCGGUGGGAUAAGGGAAAGGAGGAAGGGGGUGCACCCGUUCUUUUCAAAGAUAUGACUUAGAAAUCUGAUAACAUGCCAUUGGCCAAACUUAGAGGCAAGACCAUACAGUUGUAAGGGAUGCUGGGAAUUGUAGACUUCCAUGUGCCCAUCUAAAACUUCUUCCACUGUGGAGGAUGGAGAGAAGGGAUCUAUGGAAGAAAAGCUAGUGAUGCUGUGCAAGCCCACUGGCUUGUCUUAGUUUGAUAUUUCUUAUUUGAAAAAUACAUUCUGUGAAUUGUCAUACUUAUUUUUAACCAAAUAAAAUUUAAAUAUGAUCAAGUCUCUGCCAGCAGCAUGCUGUUUUCCUGGGAAAGUGAGGUCGCCCUAUUUGGCCUUCGUUCUCCCAACCGUUGAAGGAGACAUUGGAAAAUAUUCUUAACAUGGACCCCAUGGAGCUAGCCAAGGGGGGGCUUUUGGGGUCUGUGAAUACCAUGUAAUUAUAUGCUCAAUUUGGGGGUGUACAUUUUUUUCGGGAGAGUGACUAUGGCAUUCAAGGUUUAUGAGAGGUUUUUGACCCUAAAAAGUUGAGAAACAGAGUGAAAGAAUUACUCAUGGCCCUCCAUACCCAUAUUGUAUGAUUCCUUUCUACCCACCUUAUGGCACACGCUUGGAAAGGAGUCUGGGGGGAAGAAAAGGCAAUUGAAGGACACUGGGGAGGUUGGAGCAUGCGGCUCCAGCCUCGUCCUGACAGUGACCGCAUGGCGCGCGUGUGGUCUGCCGUCCAGGGGUCUUUCUCUCUAGUCCCUGCCCUGGCUGAAUUGGGACUUGGCUGGGUGUACACCUGGCACACUCUGCCUAACGUCUCCCAAGCAGUUCCCAAAGCUCCCAGCCAGGAGCCAGUUAGGAUUUCAGAGGCACAAGUGAGCCGCUGUGCUUGGCCUGCCAGGUGAAAAGAACAGAGCCCGUAUUAACGAGACGCUCCUCUCUUGGUAUCGGCUUUCGCUUUGCAGGCGAUGUCUCGGACCGGGAGCAAACCUGUCUCUCUGUCCGGAGCCAGGGAUUUGAUAUUGUCCUGAAUAGAGGUUUUCAUCCCCUAGCUAGUCGUCUGCCCUCCGUGGCGCCUGCCGCCAGUGCCAGGCUUGGCACGUGAGCCCCCAGCUGUAGGAGGAGUGGGUGAACGGGGCAGAACUGGGCUCAGCGGCUCCCCAAUCCACCCAGAUGUGGUGGAGGAGAAAGAGGCAUCCUGCGCUGGGAGAAGCAGCAAGGAAACAAGCGGAGAUCUGGCCGCACACGGAGCAAUCACUUGGCAGGAAGGGUCCUGAUGUACGGAUGGUGUGUACCACGUGGGAAUUUCUCCACAGCCCACGGAUGAGCCAGACUCAUCAGUGCGGCACCACCAUCCACAGUCAGGAAGGUACAGAGGGAAGCUAGAAACAAGGAUUUUAUCAAAGGGGAAAGGUCAAAGAGAAAAGCAUUGUGGCACCAGAAACACUUAGAGCAGGGGUGAGCAUCUCCAAACACAGAGGACGGGGAAGGAGAGGAGCGAAGGGUGGCUGAGGGACCAGCCCUGGACACACUUGGGAGAUGGGUCAGGAAGAAAGCAAUGUGAGGGGAGGAGGAGGCACAGGCUGCCAUGGAGGCCCCAGCUCGGGGUUCUGGCAGCUGGAAGAUGGUACCACCACCCCAGCAGAGCUAGGCUAGCAAGAGAGGUCAGGGCUGGGUGGCAGGGUGUGGCCCUGCAGGGGCCAGGGAGCUGGAGACAAGCCUAACAUCCUGACAGCUGGCCUGCCUCACUCUUACGUCUGCAGGCCCUCCAGCUCUUCCCCCUGCCCUGAGCUCUCACUCAGCGCAGCCUGGGGACUUGGCCCUGGCAGCCUUUGACUGCAGGUGUGGAACGGAGGAGGGCGGCCAAAGGAAAACAAACGGGAAGAAGGGAACCACUAUGCUUUCAAAGAGCUGCACACACAGGCUGGAGUCCUGGCUGCAAAACACUCAGUUGUCCGUCCUCUGGUUGAAGCCUGUGCGUUAGGGCAAGUCCUUAUAAACACCACUGAACUGAGGACAGCUCAACGGCACCGCCACUUACCACGCGUCCACGCGGGGCUAGGUCCUGGGAUGGGUGUGGCCAAGACAGAGACAAAUAAACCCCUUUCCUUGCCCUGAGAAAGCUCACAUUCUGGUCGGGGUGGAACCCAUAAGCUCUACUAAGAGCUUCCUGAAAGUCAACCUAGGGGUCUGACAUGCUUCUCUCGAAUUCGAGCCUCAUAGCAUGCUGUGUGGGAGGCCGAAUCCGCCACUGGAGCACACAGAGGUGCAGAGACGCUAGGCAACCUGCUUAGGACCGCACAGCUGGGUCAUGGGGGAGUGAAUUUUAAACCCAAGUCCAUGUGACGCUACUGCCUGCCUGUUUCCACCGGGGCAGACCCACACUCAGCUCUUUGGUUGGAGCGGUGUGGAAGGCCACUGCGGCUGGCUCGAAGCCCGAGGCUGGAGCUGCUCACAGGCCCUUCCACCGGACGUUGGCCAAGGCACAGUGACUCCUGAUUGGGUAGAUAGAUAAUCAAAGAGAUGAAAGGGCCUCCGGUUAAUAACCACCCACAGGGGACAAGGCUCCAGGCUCUGGAGGAGCUUGGAGGGAAUGGGUCAGGCCCUGCCCUCCAGGAGCUCACAGACCAGUAGGAAGUAGAUGCAAAUGUGUUAAGACCCACUCCACUGGCACCGGCCCGGACAAAUCUCUGUCCCUUCUGGGCAGAGUGACCUGAAGUGAGAGGGCGUCUCAGAACCUCAGUUUCUUUCUCUGUAUAACACAGGUAGUUGUGCCUAAUUUAUCGCAUCGCUGUGGAGAUUACAUAAAAUAAUGUGUGCUAAGUACAGGCCUGACACAGAGCAGGAGCUCCAGAAUGUCUGGCUCCCAGAGCUUCCAUGGGGUACUCACAGCCAGCGGGGGUCGAGCGUUCCCUGCCCCACACAGGCCCAGUGGGGAAUCCCUGCUCCCUUCUGGAGAGGGCAGCCUGGAGAGCUUCCACCACCAGCCGAGGACCAGGGAGGACGCAGAGGGCAACCGAGAGAGGUCCGGGGGCCUGGGUUAGCACCUGCCACCUAGAGAUGUGGGCCGGGCUGCUUGCCCCUCCGGGGAACAGCAGAGUCCUACGCCCCUGGCCUGCCCAGGCUCUACAGCAGAGGGUGCUAGUUUUGCCUAUGGGGCAGCCAAGCCUGGACUGGUGAGGUAAGAGUUGGUGGGCAUAUGCCUCAGUCCCUCGGCCUCACAGACGGCCCCCGGGGGAAUGAGCUAGAUACCUCUGCAUUAAUACGAGCUUAAUUUGCUUGUCUGUAUUUACUCUCUUGUUCCCUGUGUUCCCACCGUGCUCCUAGGUUGGGGUCACUUCCCAGAUAAACUACGUGCACCCAAAUCCUCGUCUUAGGGACUGCUCCUGGCAGCCCAGCUACAGAGAAAUGUGUGGCUGGGUCACUCCAUGGCUGGGGACUGGGAGGGCCCUGUGGCUGGGAGAUGCUGUCUCCAUGGCCUCCUGGCUCCAGUGUCGCCUGGCUUUUCCUCAACGUGGCUGCCUCACCCCCAUGCCAAAGUGUGGGAGAAGUCAGGACCUUCUGCUGGCCGUCUGGAUCAUACAGUGACCUUCGGCUCCGAGGACAUAAGCACCUUCCUCCAAGGGAGGACCAGGUAGGUGGGAAAAAAUGAAACUGCUUUAGGCUAGCUUCAGGAGGGGCAGGAGGGGGUUCUCCCACGCCUCCUGUGAAAUGGGUGUGCCGGCUUUGUAUUUAGAGAGAACGCCGUCAAGGGACAGGGGAAAAGCGGCUGACUCAUCAGUUCCUAAUGACACUAGCAGGCAGCAUCUGUGAGCCCUCCUGGGGCUUCGUCUCAGGAGGAGGGGGUGAUUUCCUUGCUGGUGCUCCAAUAUCAGAGUCCACAUCUCCACCUCCCUGAAGUGUGUCAUGCUCUGGCUUUUCCCAGGAAAACUGCCUAAUGCCAUGGCAAAAGCAAGGUAAUAAAAUAUUCAUCUGCUGAGGCCAGAGGACGUAACUGAUCGUUUCUUCCAGGAGAAGCAGAGUCCUAAAUUAAAGACAUGCACAGAGCCAGACAAACGCACAUGCCUGACCAGCAGACAUUCCCAGGCACGUGUCGGAACAACACAGCCUCGCAUAUACAAGAAAGCAUAUGCCUAAAUGCUCACACGUAGGCACAUGGGCCCCGGUCACACACCUAUGCAGCACACAAAACUGUUGAGGACACAUGGACGCCAUGUGUGAACGCAUGCAUGAACACUGCAUGUACCCGUGAACUCCCACCCUGUAUGCUCACCCACCCACAUGUCUACUCCCCCAACGUGGCAAUGAAAAAUGAUGUCUUAGCUGGUGUAUUGGGGGCAGAAGAGCCCACCACCGGGCCCUGACUUUGGAACAAUAGCAGCCUGUCUGGCUGUCCUGGGGAAACUGGGCUUUGUCAGGCAGAAAGCAAAUACUGUGCAGGGGGAAGUGUGACUCAGAGGUGAGUUACACAACUCCAUUCUGCCUGUGUGCUCUGCCCAGGAGGGGGAGGAGGAGGAAGGCUUGCAAAUGUGAACUCUGAAAGGGCUGCUGCACUUCUGGAAGCUUCCACGUCAUGUCACUUGUCCAGGCUAGUGGAGGCAGAGGCUCCCUGAGGGCAGAGUGAGUAGCUACUACACUGUCACGACCUCAGAGCCAGACCCUCCGCACUGACCCCUCCUGCUCAUCCGGCCUGCUUCCCAGGGCUCCAGCAUGCCUCCAAAGAGAGAACGUUAGCCCCUUGGCUCAUGAGGUAGGCGCGUAUGUUGACCUGGGUCUGCCAAGGUGAUUCUGCCUUCUGAUUGUUCUAGAAGCUCUGAUGGAGCAGCUCCUGAUGAAAGAUGCCAGACCUAAGAGUUCUGAAACGACCCCAGUUCACAGACCUCGUGAGAGAACGGCAAUGUCCCAGUUCCCUUGGAUGCUGUGUUUUUCCUUAUAUCCAUUCUGCAAAGAUCCACUGAACUUCUACCAGGACCUAGGGCCUGGGGUGACAGAGUUGGCUGCCCUAAGGAUCUCACAGGCUAUGAGGGAAGCAGACAAAGGCCAAGGGAUUAUUGCUAUUUGCUUUUGGAGGAGGGGACUCUACUGACGCUAGAAGAUUUACAAGUUGUCCAGAUAAAGAAGUAGGUAUGUGUUUGAGUGGGUGGGAGGUGGGCAGGGCAAGGGGUGGAGGAUGGAGAGGAAGCAGAUUUAAAUUCUAAGCAGAAAAGCAGCAUUCAAAAAAAGAAAACAGCUUUCUACAAAGGCAGUAUUAGGCCAGGGGCUGGCAAACCACAGCUUAUAGGCCAAUUCCAGCUUACUUCCUGUUUUUGUUAAUAAAGUUUUAUUGGCACACAGCCACGGUCAUUCAUUUAUGUAUUAUCACUGGCUGCUUUUGAGCAACAGUGGCAGAGUUGACUAGUCACAGCACGGCCCUCAAAGCCUAAAAUAUUUACCAUCUGAGCCCUUAUGGAAAAAAAUUUGCCAACUUCUCCUCUAGAUCUAUCCUUUAAUUCUGGAACCCAUAAGUCUAGAAUCCAGCGUGGUUUUCUAGAGCUCCCUGUAAGAGUAACAUUUGUGUAGGGAUUUAGACGUUUACAGUGAGAUUUUGCAUCAAUUAUCCCAUUUAAUCCUUCAACAAGCCUGUGUGAGGUUAAUGGUAAUUUUAUCCCAGUUUUGCAGAUGAAAAAACUAAGACAAAGGGAAAUAAAGAGACUUGCUGAAGACCACAUGGCUGGGAGAUAGCCGAGUCCCAGGCAGCCUGAUUCUAACAUUCCAUGGUCUUUCCACCACAUUAACCUACAGAUGUUUCUCUGUCACACAUUCCACCACUGAGCUGUCCUCCCUGACAAGCCAUUUCCCUCCUCCUUCCUAAUAUCUCUGCUGCCACCAAGGAAGGCUUUUGUCCAUUGUGCUGCCUUAGUGGGAGAGAGGGUUUGGAGGAGAAUCGAAUUUCCUUUCUGCAUCUGUUUGCGGAGCCUGGUGCACCCUGGGAUGCUAACGAACAGUGACAGAUGAGCUUCAGUUGGCUGGCGCGGGUGAAGAACCACUGGACCAGGCAAAAGAAAGCAUCAUCAGAGAUGAGCCAGGGAGGAGGAGAGAGGCUUCACUUCAUGAAAGCCUCCAGCAUCCAGCAGAAACCCGCCGCAGCACCCUGACGAUGUGCUCUGCAGUCUUCAGAGUGUGUUGCAUCCAUUAUCUCCCGUGACCUGCAGACAGGCUCGAGAAGCAGGCUGAUGUGAGGUCACCAAGCCCUGCGCGUGCGGCCCCUCAAAUGCCUCUCGCGUCCGUUCCUUCUUCUCCGUUGCUCCGCCACUGCCCUUUGUAUAUCUCUUGGGGAUAUUGCAAUAGCCUCUCAUGGUCUCGUGCUCCCAGCCCGUGCCCUCUCGUCCGCUCUUGCUGUCUGAAUGAUCUUUUUGUACCGCAAAUUUUUUCAUCCUGCGGUUGGUGUCAUAGCCUCCAACAGCCCCACAAGCUAUAGACUGAAGUCUCAACUCCCGUGCAUUCAGGGACUGCGCCCUCUCUCUACAAGCCCCUUUCCUUGGAGUUUCCACCAUAGCCCCACCGUCCAGUCUUUGGAGGUGAUGCUGUGAUUUCUGAAUACACCAAGUUCUUCCAGGGGCCGUGCCUCUGCUUGGUCAUGAGCUCAGGCUGGACCUCUGGCCUCUCUCAUCCUGCUGACCGGCUCUUAUGCUUCUUUAACACCAGCUCAGCAUCACCCACUUCAGGGGUCCCCUGCCCACCUGGCUGCCAGUGUUACCAGAGGGCUUAUACCGAAGGCUGUUGCAUUUCUCACCACCUGAGAGUCUCCUGGGUCCUUCCUGCACCAGCCUCCUCCACCACGUUGGGAGCUCGUCGGGCCUACGAGUCAUGCCCCCUCACUGCCUUAUGCCCUCCACCCAGCGUGGUUCUGGCACCUUGUAGGGACUCAACUGGCACUGGUGAAAUCGAGUUUACAGCUGCCCAAGAGCCUUGGACCAGCAGGGCCAUUGGAAAGCGAAGGCCUGGAAGAAUGAGGCUCACAGAUCACCGGAGACACUUUGAUUCAUGGAAAAACCCAUGACUCUUCCCUCCCAGGAGAUUCACCAAUUCUUCCAGAGCAUGAGGUUCGCAAAGGUUUCAAGUUUUACAGUAAGGAUCCAGGGAGCCAUAGUGAAGACCAGAAUCUGUAGUCCCACAAGCUGGGACAUUACUUGGAAUAAGGAUCUUGGCAGACGUAAUUAUUGGAAGAAUCUUGAGACGAGCUUAUCCUGGAGGAGGGUGGACCCUCGAUCCAGUGGCAAGUGUCCCUACCAGAGACAGAAAGGAGAAGACGCACAGACACAUGAGAGAAGGCCUUGUGAAGAUUCCCGCGAAGACAAAGACAGAGGUUGGAGUGAGGGUCCAUAAGCCAGAGGAUGCCAGGGAUUGCUGACAAUCACAGAAGCUAGGAGAGGGACCUAGAAUGGAUUUUCUCUCAGAGCUUCCAGAAGGAACCAAUCCUGCUGACACUUCUGGCCUCUAGAACUGUCAGAGAAUAAAGUUCUCUUACUUCAAGCCACCCGACUGUUGUCAUUUGUUACCUAGGCAGCCCUAGGAAGUGAAUACAACUGUACAGUGUAAGAAUACAGGGGAAGCCCACAAAGGCCAUAAGGGACCAGCAGGUCAGGGGGCCCUUGGUCCUUACCAUCAUGUGUGGGUUCCCCACUCUCCUUCUCACCCUGGCAGCUCUCAGCCCCUCGGUCUCUCUGCUCUGACUUCCAGCUGCCACCAGCCCACCAAUUCCCCCUCCUCUGUGUGCCUCCAUCUCAGGCCCGCACGCGGGGGCUUUGCUUCGCUGGAGGCUCUCUGCAGCCUGAGCUGCGUCUGUCUGCUUGUUGGUCUUUCCAUGUUUUACAUAUACCGACCAGCCAACUCUCUGACUAUAUUCAAAGUAUCCAAGAGAGGUGAUCUGGUGGUUUAGCUCACCACAUGA